AUUGAACGCUGGCGGCAGGCCUAACACAUGCAAGUCGAGCGGAGCGGCGGACGGGUGAGUAAUGCCUAGGAAUCUGCCUGGUAGUGGGGGAUAAGGUCCGGAAACGGGCGCUAAUACCGCAUACUAUCAGAUGAGCCUAGGUCGGAUUAGCUAGUUGGUGGGGUAGAGGCCUACCAGGGGGACGAUCCGUAACUGGGCUGAGAGGAUGAUCCGUCACACUGGAACAUAGACACGGUCCAGAGUCCUAGAGGCGGCAGCAGUGGGGAAUAUUGGACAAUGGGCCAAAGCGUGAAACAGCGAUGCCGCGUGUGUGAAUAAGGGCUUCGGAUUGUAAAGCACUUUAAGUCGGGAGGCGUUACCAACAGAAGAAGCACCGGCUAACUUCGUGCCAGCAGCCGCGGUAAUAC
rnacentral:rRNA from 1 species